GGGGGAUAACAUUGGAAACAGAUGCUAAUACCGCAUAACAACAAAAGCUGCAUGGCUGUUGUUUGAAAGAUGGCUUUGGCUAUCACUCUGGGAUGGACCUGCGGUGCAUUAGCUAGUUGGUAAGGUAACGGCUUACCAAGGCGAUGAUGCAUAGCCGAGUUGAGAGACUGAUCGGCCACAAUGGAACUGAGACACGGUCCAUACUCCUACGGGAGGCAGCAGUAGGGAAUCUUCCACAAUGGGCGCAAGCCUGAUGGAGCAACACCGCGUGAGUGAAGAAGGGUUUCGGCUCGUAAAGCUCUGUUGUUGGAGAAGAACGUGCGUGAGAGUAACUGUUCACGCAGUGACGGUAUCCAACCAGAAAGUCACGGCUAACUACGUGCCAGCAGCCGCGGUAAUACGUAGGUGGCAAGCGUUAUCCGGAUUUAUUGGGCGUAAAGCGAGCGCAGGCGGUUGCUUAGGUCUGAUGUGAAAGCCUUCGGCUUAACCGAAGAAGUGCAUCGGAAACCGGGCGACUUGAGUGCAGAAGAGGACAGUGGAACUCCAUGUGUAGCGGUGGAAUGCGUAGAUAUAUGGAAGAACACCAGUGGCGAAGGCGGCUGUCUGGUCUGCAACUGACGCUGAGGCUCGAAAGCAUGGGUAGCGAACAGGAUUAGAUACCCUGGUAGUCCAUGCCGUAAAC
rnacentral:rRNA from 1 species